rnacentral:rRNA from 1 species
UACGUAGGGUGCGAGCGUUGUCCGGAAUUACUGGGCGUAAAGAGCUCGUAGGUGGUUUGUCGCGUUGUUCGUGAAAACUCACAGCUUAACUGUGGGCGUGCGGGCGAUACGGGCAGACUGGAGUACUGCAGGGGAGACUGGAAUUCCUGGUGUAGCGGUGGAAUGCGCAGAUAUCAGGAGGAACACCGGUGGCGAAGGCGGGUCACUGGCCCGGUACUGACGCUGAGGUGCGAAAGCGUGGGGAGCAAACAGG